rnacentral:piRNA from 1 species
UGUGAUUCUUACUGUCUUGCAUCUACCACC